GUGUGUCUGAAGACAGCUACAGUGUAUUCAUAUAAAUAAAAUAAAUCUUAAAAAAAAAAAAAAAAAAAAAAACUCAUCCCACUCAAGGCCUAAACCUGGCUUUCAGCCUGUACAAAUUAAUUCUGUCAGCCUGUACAACUUAAUUCUGACAUGACUCAAGUACUGGGAAGUUUGUGUUCCAGGAACUCAGAGGCCGAGACCGUGAGAUUAGAUAGCUGUCCUCCAUGGGUGAGUUCGGAGAAAAUGAGCUCCUCUGCCCUGCAUCCAGAGCUCCGAGAAAAGCCACAAAGAACAUCUGUGGGACCCCAGAUAUCUCUUCUGCCAGCUCAAGACCUGCUUGAGUUUAAAUAAGCACGGGGACCAAUCAUGUAUCACCCUGCCAUUCUUUACCCGCUCCUUCUCAAAAACCCUAUAUAUACUCUUGUGGUUUGGGGCCAAUCCCUCUGCCUCCUGCGUGAGGGUGAGGUACAUAUUGGUCCAGAGCUCUGCCCCAAUACAGCUUGUUGCCUUUGCAUCGGACCCAGUCUCUUGUUCUUGGGCGCCACUCCCUCCUGCUGUGCCUUCCAGCUCUGGGCAGCCUCGCUCUCCCAAACUGGGCAUGCCAGGGCUCCAAUAGCACAAGCCACCGCACUCUCCCGAACUGAGCGGGGUGGAGGAAUUCAGACUUAACAACCCCCUUAAGACUGACGCUAGAGGGGUUGAGGAUUUAGCUCAGCGGUAGAGCACUUGCCUAGAAAGCGCAAGGCCCUAGGUUCGGUCCUCAGCUCCAAGAGGGGGAAAAAAAAAAAAGGAAGACUGACACUAGAUCAUUGGACUAAAGUUAGGGACAGAGCACACAAUAUGUCAGUUGAAGGAAAGUGGCAGACUUUCGGUGUUGGCUGGCCCCCUGAGGGCUCUUUUGACCUGACUAUGAUUCUUGAUGUUAAAGUUGUUGUUUUUCAGGAAAAAAUUGGGAGCACAUCCUGACCAGCAACCUUACAUCUCGUUCUGGCAAGACCUGGUUCAAAAUCCUCCAUCCUGGAUUAAGCCUUGGGUUAAACCUGGCUCCCAGGCCCUGGUCCUUCGUGGCACAUCAGCCUCGCAAAAGAAACCAAAGGCUCCUCCCAAACCGAAGCCCUCAGUACCCUCUGCUCCUCCUAAGCUCUAUCCUGAGAUUGAGGAGCCUCUUGAGUGGCCAGCCCCUCCUUUGCUUCCCCCAUUUCCUCCCCAGCAGCCUCUAGUCUCUGCUCUGCAGGAGGGAGAAGUAGGAAGUGGGGGUCCAGUGACAGGAACCCAAAGCCGCAGAGUUCGGAGUCCUAUGGAACCUGACUCCACUGUAGUCAUGCCUUUGCGUACUUAUGGUAUCCCAGUGGACCCCCCUAACCUUCAACCCCUCCAGUACUGGCCCUUCUCUUCUGCGACCUUUAUAACUGGAAGGCUAAUCACCCCUCUUUCUCUGAGAAUCCCUCUGGCCUUCCUGGGCUGAUGGAGUCUUUGAUGCACUCACAUCAACCCAUGUGGGAUGACUGUCAGCAGCUCUUACAGAUCUUACUUACGACAGAAGAGAGGGAACGGAUCCUCCUGGAGGCACGCAAGAACGUGCCCAGAGCAGAUGGCCUGCCUACCCAGCUCCCUAAUGAGACAGAAGCAGGUUUUCCUCUGGACCGGCCCAACUGGGAUUUCAAUACUGCAGCAGGUAGGGAGCGACUGACAGUCUUCUGCUGGGCUCUGGUGGCAGGUCUCAAGGGGGCUGUGAGACGCCCUACCAAUCUGGCUAAGGUAAGAGAAAUAUUGCAAGGGCCUGUGGAGCCGCCAUCUGUUUUUCUAGAAUGCCUCAUGGAGGCUUACAGGAGAUAUACUCCUUUUGACCCUGCCUCUCCAGGACACCAGGCAGCAAUAGCUAUGGCUUUUAUAGGACAGUCAGCCCCUGAUAUUAAAACAAAAUUGCAGUUCAUGGAAGGAUUGCAGGACUAUACUUUGCAGGAUUUAGUUAAGGAGGCUGAGAAAGUGUAUCACAAAAGAGAGACACAGGAAGAGAGACAGGAAAGGGGAAAGAGAGAGACAGAAGAAUGAAGAGAUCGUAGACAAACAAGGAAUUUGACAAGGAUUUUGGCCAUGGUGGUAAGAGAAGGAGAUAGGGCAGGAUGCAGAUAGACAGGGAACCUGGGUGACAGAAGACCCAGAGCAGGAGAUGGGAGGAGGAAACCUCCCCUGGAAAAAGACCAGUGUGCUUGCUGCAAAGAGAGAGGCCACUGGGCAGGAGAGUGCCCUAAGAGGAAAGAAAAGACCCACAAAGUACUGAACAUACAAGAAGAUGAUUAGAGGGUACAGGGAUCAGUUCCCCUCCCCGAGCCUAGGGUAACCCUAACUGUGGAGGGGACCCCCUUAAACUUUCUGGUGGACACAGGUGCUGAAUAUUCUGUGUUGCAGCGACCUUUAGGGAAAUUAAGCACCAGAAAAACCACAGUGCUUGGGGCUACCGGACAAAAGCAGUGUUCUUGGACCACCUCCCGCACUGUGGACUUAGGGAAAGGCCAGGUUACCCAUGGCUUCCUGGUAACUCCAGAGUGCCCGACUCAUUUAUUAGGCAGAGACUUAUUGACUUUAAGUUAAAAGCCCAAAUUCAGUUUACCCCAUCCGGACCUGAAGUGAAAUGGGAAGAACCCGCAACCAUGAUACUGGCCUUAAAACUGGAAGAAGAAUAUAGGUUACAUGAACAACCAAGGAAGGAGGUGACUCCAGACCUAGAUUGGUGGCUAUCUAAUAUUCCUCAAGCCUGGGCAGAGACGGGGGGCAUGGGCAUGGCAGUUAGAGUUCCUCCGAUGGUAGUGGAGCCCAAGUCAGAUAGCACUCCCAUUGGAGUUGGACAGUACCCGACGAGCCGAGAAGCUAGGGAUGGAAUGUGAGCACACAUACAGCGACUCCUUUCCUUGGGCAUUCUGGUGCCAUGCCAGUCACCCCGGAGCACCCCUCUGUUGCCUGUAAGAAAGCCUGGCACCAAUGAUUACAGACCAGUACAAGACUUGACAGCGGUAAACAAGAGAAUGCAGGAUACACACCCAACUGUUCCGAAUCCAUAUAACCUCCUUAGUUCACUCCCACCUGAACGGCAAUGGUAUGCUGUUCUUGAUCUGAAAGGAUGCCUUUUUCUGUCUAAAGCUUCAUUCCAGCAGUCAGCCAAUCUUUGCUUUUGAAUGGAAGGACACCCAGACACUGGACAAACUGGCCGACUCACCUGGACUAGACUGCCCCAAGGAUUUAAAAAUUCACCCACACUUUUUGAUGUGGCGUUGCAUCGAGAUUUGGCCACCUUCGGGACUGCACACCCCCAGGGAACCCUCCUGCAGUACGUAGAUGACCUGUUGGUGGCGGCCUCCACCAAAGAAGAACGCCUCCAUGGGCCUAAGGACUUGCUUACAGAACUGGGUGAGUUGGGAUAUCGAGCCACCGCCAAGAAGGCUCAGCUAUGUCAGACUGAAGUAACCUACUUAGGUUACUCUUUAAGAGAAGGGAAACGGUAGCUGACAGAGGCCAGAAAGAAAACAGUUACACAGAUCCCUGUACCUACCACCCCCUCGAGAAGUAAGGGAGUUCUUGGGUACAGCUGGGUUUUGUAGACUGUGGAUUCCUGGGUUUGCCACAAUGGCAGCCCCAUUGUACCCUCUGACUAAAGAAGGGAAAACAUUUUCUUGGACCCCCGACCAUCAGAAGGCUUUCGAUGAGAUCAAGAAAGCCUUAUUAUCAGCCCCUGCCCUGGCAUUGCCAGAUUCGACUAAGUCAUUCGCCUUAUACUUGGAUGAGAGAGCUGGAGUGGCUAGAGGGGUUGUUACUCAGACUUUGGGACCCUGGAGAAGACCAGUGGCCUACUUAUCUAAAAAACUAGACCCAGUUGCGCGUGGGUGGCCCUCUUGCCUGAGAGCCACUGCGGCCGUAGCCCUGCUUAUCAAAGAUGCUGAUAAAUUGACCUUGGGGCAGCAAAUGACUUUAAUAGCCCCACACUCUCUUGAGAGUAUUGUGCGACAGCCCCCGGAUCGAUGGAUGACGAAUGCUAGAAUGACACACUACCAGAGCCUGUUGUUGACCGAUAGGAUAACCUUUGCCCCUCCUGUCAUCCUAAACCCUGCCACCCUGUUACCGGAGACUGAAGACUCAACCCCAGCACAUCAAUGUGAAGAAAUCCUGGCAGAAGAGACCAACCAUGGCCAGGAGGUUCCACCUGGUACACGGAUGGCAGCAGCUUCAUGGUUGAAGGUAAACGGGUGGCAGGGGUAGCAGUAGUGAACGUGACUGAUGUCAUCUGGGCUAACCAUCUGCCAGAAGGAACCUCAGCAUAGAAAGCGAAUUGAUAGCCCCCAACUGAGCCCUACAGAUGGCAGAGGGCAAGACUAAGCAUCUAUACAGACAGCAGGUACGCGUUUGGUACUGCGCAUAUACAUGGGGCCAUAUACAGACAGAGGGGACUGCUGACCUCAGCAGGAAGAGAUAUUAAAAAUAAAGAAGAGGGGUUGGGGAUUUAGCUCAGUGGUAGAGCGCUUGCCUAGGAAGCGCAAGGCCCUGGGUUCGGUCCCCAGCUCCGAAGGGGGAAAAAAAAAUAAAAUAAAGAAGAAAUACUUAGCCUAUUGGAAGCUAUCCACCUGCCUAAGAAAGUGGCCAUUAUCCACUGCCCAGGCCACCAAAAGGGACAAAGCAGAAUUGCAAAAGGGAACAGAAUGGCUGACUCAGUAGCCAGAGAAGCGGUGUAGGGGGUGAUGAUGAUGACGGGGAGUUCCCUGCACCACCAAAUAGUCCCAAAACCAGACAUCGAAUACAUCACAGAAGAUCACCAGCAUAUGGACGAGCUAGGGUUCUCACCUCCAGCGAAAGACAAGAGGAGGUAUGCCCCGGAUGGUAAACUGGCCCUACCCCAGACAGAAGGACAUGCCUAUGUGGACCACUUACACCGCCUGACUCAUUUGGGAACAAAAAAUCUUAAGACUCUGAUCAAAGCCUCAAAUUAUUAUAUCCCUAAACUUUCAGAGACUAUUGACAGAGUGAUAAAAGACUGUGCCCUGUGCCAUGAUUAAUGCAGGACAUUCGAGACUCCCUCUAGGAAAGAGACUCAGAGGGAGUCGGCCGGGCGUCUAUUGAGAAGUGGACUUCGCUGAGGUCAAACCUGCCAAGUAUAGUGAUAAGUAUCUCUUAGUUUUUAUAGAUACCUUUUCAGGAUGGGUGGAGGCUUACCCCACUAAGUUGGAGACUGCCACCGUAGUGGCUAAAAAGAUCCUUGAAGAAAUCUUUCCCAGGUUUGGAAUACCCAAGGUAAUUGGGUCUGAACAUUCCUGGCCCCUUUGGCCUAACACCUUAUGAGAUUAUGUAUGGGAGUCCCCCGCCCCUCCUUGAAUCGGGCAGAGCCCCCUGCCCUGAGGCUCUUCCUAAAACCCUGUUUGCUCAUUUGAAGGCUUUAAGAGACAGUCCAGAGUGAAAUCUGGAGCCGAGUGAAAGAAGCCUACAAGACCGGAAGUCCAGAAAUGCCUCACCGGUUCCAAGUGGGAGACACAGUCCUGGUCCGGCGACACUGAGCUGGGAAUUUAGAACCUCACUGGAAAGGACCCUACCUAAUACUGUUAACCUCUCCCACUACUGUUAAGAGAUGGCAGGACUAGGUCGGAGGCCCAUAGAUGUGGAGGGCUGGAUCAUUACUUUUGUAAACAAUGGACGUGUGAAACCACCGGAGAUGCUUAUUGGAAACCGACUUCUUCCUGGGAUCUAAUCUCAGUUAAUGGAAACUCUGCAGCAUCGGGGACCGACCCCCUGAAUAUUGUCUUUACCAAGAAAGGGCAUGAAUCCCGAGAUUGGAUGAGAGGAUGUGGGGAUUGCGCUUCUAUAUGACUGGUUAUGAUAAGGGAUUCACAUUUUCCAUUUGGCUUAGGUAGAGGCUCCCAUUUCUGUCCCCAUCGGGCCCAGUCUCGUUCUGCAGCCUCUCAAGCCGCAGUCCAAACCUACAGCACCCCCAGACCCUGUGACAGGGACCCUGCAGGGACUCAGACACCUAUAAUACCUCUAUCUGCCUCUCCUCCACAUACUGUAGACCAGCUAAUGAACAUAGUUGAUUGACAACCUCCGCAGUAUCAGGGAAAGGAACCUGCAUGGGCGUGGUCCCGGCUUCCCACCAAAACCUGUGUAACACCACCCAGAUGUUCAGCUCUAACUACAGAUAUCUGCUAGCCCCAUCGGAAGGGUGGUGGGCCUGUAAUUCCGGUUUGACCCCUUGUGUUUCUCUGGCCGUGUUAAAUCAAAAUGCCUCCUUUUGUGUCCUUGUACAGUUAGUGCCUGUAGAGAGCGGCUAAAGAUGGCUCCGACAUCCGGUGGUCGUUGGUGAUAAACACCUGCAAUGCGCAUGUGUUGGCAUUUCUCCGGCAGUUAUCAGACUGGAGUGAUAUUCAUGCUAAUAAGGUAUUUCAUACUCCACCAAUCCCCAGAGGACAAGUUUACUGUCACAGCCUGUCUUGUAUUUAAGGUGAGUGCCUUUGUUCCUCGGGGUCCCCGAAUCAAGAAUGAGGUGUUCCUGCAAUAAAAGCUGUUGAGAAGAA
rnacentral:sRNA from 1 species